UCAAGCGAAUAAGAGCUUACGACGGAUACCUUGGUGUUCAGAAGCGAUGAAGGGCGUGGCUACCAACGAAAUGUCUCGGGGAACUGGAAGCAAGUUUUGAUCCGAGAAUUCCCGAAUAAGGAAACUUCGAGAACUACUUCUUGAAUUCAUAAAGAAGAAAGAGCAAACCUAGUGAAUUGAAACAUCUUAGUAACUAGAGGAAAAGAAAGCAAAAGCGAUUCCCUCAGUAGCGGCGAGCGAAAUGGA
rnacentral:rRNA from 1 species